rnacentral:rRNA from 1 species
UGGGGAAUUUUGGACAAUGGGCGCAAGCCUGAUCCAGCCAUGCCGCGUGGGUGAAGAAGGCCUUCGGGUUGUAAAGCCCUUUCGGCCGGGAAGAAAACGUGCGGGCGAACAGUCUGCAUGGAUGACGGUACCGGAAGAAGAAGCACCGGCUAACUACGUGCCAGCAGCCGCGGUAAUACGUAGGGUGCGAGCGUUAAUCGGAAUUAUUGGGCGUAAAGCGUGCGCAGGCGGCGCCAUAAGACAGCUGUGAAAUCCCCGGGCUUAACCUGGGAACUGCGGUUGUGACUGUGGUGCUAGAGUACGGCAGAGGGAGGUGGAAUUCCUGGUGUAGCAGUGAAAUGCGUAGAGAUCAGGAGGAACCCCGAUGGCGAAGGCAGCCUCCUGGGCUGAUACUGACGCUCAUGCACGAAAGCGUGGGGAGCAAACA